rnacentral:rRNA from 1 species
CAGUAGCCACGGUAAUACGGAGGGUGCAAGCGUUAAUCGGAAUUACUGGGCGUAAAGCGCACGCAGGCGGUCUGACAAGUCAGAUGUGAAAUCCCCGGGCUUAACCUGGGAACUGCAUUUGAAACUGUCAGGCUGGAGUCUUGUAGAGGGGGGUGGAAUUCCAGGUGUAGCGGUGAAAUGCGUAGAGAUCUGGAAGAAUACCGGUGGCGAAGGCGGCCCCCUGGACAAAGACUGACGCUCAGGUGCGAAAGCGUGGGGAGCAAACAGGAUUAGAUACCCCGGUAGUCCCUGUCUCUUAUAC